CAAUAGCGUAUAUUUAAGUUGCUGCAGUUAAAAAGCUCGUAGUUGGAUUUCGGGUGGGAAUGGCCGGUCCGCCGUUUCGGUGUGCACUUGCUACGCCCACCUUGCUGCCGGGGACGUGCUCUUGAGUUCACGCUCGGACACGGAGUCGGCGAGGUUACUUUGAGUAAAUUAGAGUGUUCAAAGCAGGCCUACGCUCUGAAUACAUUAGCAUGGAAUAACACGAUAGGACUCUGGCCUAUCUUGUUGGUCUGUAGGACCGGAGUAAUGAUUAAGAGGGACAGUCGGGGGCAUUCGUAUUUCAUUGUCAGAGGUGAAAUUCUUGGAUUUAUGAAAGACGAACUACUGCGAAAGCAUUUGCCAAGGAUGUUUUCAUUAA
rnacentral:rRNA from 1 species